AACGAACGCUGGCGGCAUGCCUAACACAUGCAAGUCGAACGAUAAGCCACCUUCGGGUGGUGGACAGUGGCGCACGGGUGAGUAACACGUGGGGACCUGCCUGAUAGUAAGGAAAAACAGUUGGAAACGACUGCUAAUACCUUAUACGCCCUUCGGGGGAAAGAUUUAUCGCUAUCAGAUGGACCCGCGCUAGAUUAGAUAGUUGGUGAGGUAAUGGCUCACCAAGUCUACGAUCUAUAGCUGGUUUGAGAAGAUGAUCAGCCACAUUGGGACUGAGACACGGCCCAGACUCCUACGGGAGGCAGCAGUGGGGAAUAUUGUACAAUGGACGCAAGUCUGAUACAGCAAUGCCGCGUGAGUGAAGAAGGCCUUAGGGUUGUAAAACUCUUUCGCUAGGGAAGAUAAUGACGGUACCUAGUAAAGAAGUCCCGGCUAACUCCG
rnacentral:rRNA from 1 species